ACCAGCAGCAUACCACCCUGCAUCCCACUGCUGGCUUUCCUCUGAAGCUAAGCAGGGUUGGUCCUGGAUGGGAGACCAGAUGCUGCUGGAA
ensembl:rRNA 5S_rRNA 5S ribosomal RNA